rnacentral:rRNA from 1 species
GACGAACCGUGCGAACGUUGUUCGGAAUCACUGGGCAUAAAGGGCGCGUAGGCGGCUUUUCAAGUCAGGGGUGAAAUCCGGCAGCUCAACUGUCGAAGUGCCCUUGAUACUGAUGAGCUCGAGGGAGGUAGGGGUCUGUGGAACUUCCGGUGGAGCGGUGAAAUGCGUUGAUAUCGGAAGGAACGCCGGUGGCGAAAGCGACGGACUGGACCUCUUCUGACGCUGAGGCGCGAAAGCCAGGGGAGCAAACGGG